ACAACAAUUAAAUUUGCUUCCACUAAAACAUAAAUUAUACAUUGUUUCAAAGCAAACAAAAUUUUGCUUCCAAAGAAAGCAGAGUCUGCUUCGAUGCAACAUCGCCCUAAUACAACAAAACAACAGAAAAUAAUUAUAUUACAACAAAAAUAUGAUACAAGGCGGAUUGUCUCGGGCUGUAGUGACUGCGCUAGGGAAUGCAUAAGCAGAAGAUUGCCGAAAGGAAGUUGUUGCCUUCAUGAUGGCAGCAAGCAGUGGGACGCCGACACCAUCAAUUGCUCGUAACACGGUGAUAUCCUUCUUGGUUGCAUGGUGGUAGAAGAUAGAGCUCACGCAUUCAAGCAUGGGCGCAAAUGCAUCGCCAAGUCGAUGGACUACGUGACAAGGACAUCAUAAUGGAGGGCCUUGGUCACUGUCUCCCCCCAUGUCACCACUAUCUCCUCCAUUGCCUUCAAAUAGACACCGCCAAUAUUGUGGGGAGAGGUCCGUGCGAGGUGUUUGAGACACCAAUAAUGCAUGUGUGGCGUGUUGUAGCUCGAAACAUUUGAACAAAAGAAGCACACGUGAGAUGAGAGAUGGCUUGAUCUAUCACAACAUAAAUUAUAGGCAAUGGAGGCAUAGAAAAAUGAGAUAAGUAUGGCCUACAUGAAGCAACGAAUUGAUCGUAUGUCAGAACAUAAAUGAUAGUUUGUGGAAGCAUGGAAAAUUGAGAUGAAGAAAUACUCAUUGUUAUAGAAACAUAUGUGAAACAUAAAAGUAGGAAGCAUGACUUACACGUAGGCGUGAUUUGAUCAAUCAAAACAUACAUGAUAGGCCGUCAAAGCAUAUAAAAUUGAGAUAAAUAGAAAAUUCACUACUACAGGAACCGUAUGCGAAGCAUACAAGUAGGAAGCAUGGCUUACACGAAAGAGCGAUUUGAUUGAUCAAAACAUACAUGAUAUGCAGUGGAAGCACAGAAAUUUAGUACUAUAUGGAACAUAUGCGAAACAAAAAAUAUAGAAAGCAUGGCUUACACGAAGCAAUGAGUUGAUCUAUCACAACAUACAUGGGGCGGAGUUUUGAUUAAAAUGGUGUUGAAAAAUAAUAAAACAUUAGAAUCACACACAAAAGUAGAAACAAAGACUAUGUAAGAAAACUUUGUAUACCACAGAGACACGGUUAAUAUAAUAUGGGCAUGGCAUAUUACAACAUUCUAUGAAAGAUGAAGCAGAAAGUAUGGAAGCAUUCUAUGUAACCAAAGGAGCAUAUGGAGUAUAAUUUGGAAGCCCUGACAGCACGAAGCAUGAAAAUGUGUUAUCUUAACAUAACUAGUCUUAUUUUGAAGCAUAGAAAUUUGGAAAUAGAAAUUAAGUAAGAUUGCUACCAACAUGGGGAUGAAUGUUUGUGUCAACUAGAUACCAAAAAUGUUGAAGUAUGGAAGCAAACUAUCUAGACAGAAGAAGCAUAUGUAAAAUUAUUUGGAAGCUCCUUUAGUAGGAAGCAUGAAAAGCCUGUUAUCUCAACAUGACACAUCUUACUAGGAAGCUCCUUGAGUAAGAAGCAUGGAAAGAUUGAUCUAGGAACAGAAUUAGUAUUAGUUGGAAGCAUGGAAAACUGAACAUAAACUAGUACUGCCUCAACACGAGGAUGCAUAUUUGUGUGACAUGCAUACUAAAUUCAUGGGAUUUCGUUGAUGAUUAGUGAUCUAGUAGACAUUAGAUAGAAUAGACUGACACCCAAUAGAACAAACCAAAGAUAUGAACAUAGAUAACAAUCAAUACUCAGAACACAAAUCUCUACCAUUGCAGAAAUUAAAUGUAUCAAGUUGGAAUGACUCAAACCCUAGGUCAGAUGAGGAUGGUGCAGGGAGGCGACUCGUGCUAUCGUCCGCGCGUUCCCAACAUGAGACAUGCAGCAGGUAUGAGUGUGGCGGGGUUAGGAUCCUGGCAAAGAACAGAGGCUGACAUGUGGCAGGCGAGCUCGGCGGUGAGCCGGUGAGCAGGGUGCAACCCCGAACGCAGCCGAUUCUACUGAUGGGAAGCCCGGCGAAGCACGAAUCGAAGUUGAGGAUGGGGCUCGACCUCCUAAUGCCAGGAAGUAUGACGCACCUGCGAUGUCGCCCAGGAGUCGCAUUGGUGGAUAUGACGAUGGGGUAGCCAUACUGCUCGGCAACGAGGAGCGAAGAAGGAGCAGGGGGCGGAGCUGGCCGGUGAGGACACAGUGUUGCUGGGCGAAGAAGAGGAAAAGAGGCAGCUGCGUGCGAGGCGGACGGAGAAGGAGGUUGUGGAUUCCGGGUGAGGUGAGCGAGGAGCCCGGCACGUUGCGUGCGGUUGGGGACGAGGACGAUGGAGUCGGGAGGAUUAGGGAGAGAUAGGAUUACACGCGGGGAUUCGG
rnacentral:rRNA from 1 species